GGAAUAUUGGACAAUGGGCGCAAGCCUGAUCUAGCCAUGCCGCGUGAGCGAUGAAGGCCUUAGGGUUGUAAAGCUCUUUCACCGGGGAAGAUAAUGACGGUACCCGGAGAAGAAGCCCCGGCUAACUCCGUGCCAGCAGCCGCGGUAAUACGGGGGGGGCAAGCGUUGUUCGGAAUUACUGGGCGUAAAGGGCGCGUAGGCGGCCUGCUAAGUCACACGUGAAAUCCCUCGGCUCAACCGGGGAACUGCGUGUGAUACUGGCGGGCUUGAAUUCGGGAGAGGGAUGUGGAAUUCCAGGUGUAGCGGUGAAAUGCGUAGAUAUCUGGAGGAACACCGGUGGCGAAGGCGGCAUCCUGGACCGAGAUUGACGCUGAGGCGCGAAAGCUAGGGUAGCAAA
rnacentral:rRNA from 1 species